rnacentral:rRNA from 1 species
GACCUGGUAGUCCACGCUGUAAACGAUGUCGACUUGGAGGUUGUGCCCUUGAGGCGUGGCUUCCGGAGCUAACGCGUUAAGUCGACCGCCUGGGGAGUACGGCCGCAAGGUUAAAACUCAAAUGAAUUGACGGGGGCCCGCACAAGCGGUGGAGCAUGUGGUUUAAUUCGAUGCAACGCGAAGAACCUUACCUACUCUUGACAUCCACGGAAUUCGCCAGAGAUGGCUUAGUGCCUUCGGGAACCGUGAGACAGGUGCUGCAUGGCUGUCGUCAGCUCGUGUUGUGAAAUGUUGGGUUAAGUCCCGCAACGAGCGCAACCCUUAUCCUUUGUUGCCAGCACGUAAUGGUGGGAACUCAAAGGAGACUGCCGGUGAUAAACCGGAGGAAGGUGGGGAUGACGUCAAGUCAUCAUGGCCCUUACGAGUAGGGCUACACACGUGCUACAAUGGCAUAUACAAAGAGAAGCGAACUCGCGAGAGCAAGCGGACCUCAUAAAGUAUGUCGUAGUCCGGAUUGGAGUCUGCAACUCGACUCCAUGAAGUCGGAAUCGCUAGUAAUCGUAGAUCAGAAUGCUACGGUGAAUACGUUCCCGGGCCUUGUACACACCGCCCGUCACACCAUGGGAGUGGGUUGCAAAAGAAAGUAGGUAGCUUAAC